rnacentral:rRNA from 1 species
ACAUACGGGAGGCAGCAGUAGGGAAUCUUCCGCAAUGGACGAAAGUCUGACGGAGCAACGCCGCGUGAGCGAUGAAGGCCUUCGGGUCGUAAAGCUCUGUUGUUAGGGAAGAACAAGUACGAGAGUAACUGCUCGUACCUUGACGGUACCUAACCAGAAAGCCCCGGCUAACUACGUGCCAGCAGCCGCGGUAAUACGUAGGGGGCAAGCGUUGUCCGGAAUUAUUGGGCGUAAAGGGCUCGUAGGCGGUUUCUUAAGUCUGAUGUGAAAGCCCACAGCUCAACUGUGGAGGGUCAUUGGAAACUGGGGAACUUGAGUGCAGAAGAGGAGAGUGGAAUUCCACGUGUAGCGGUGAAAUGCGUAGAUAUGUGGAGGAACACCAGUGGCGAAGGCGACUCUCUGGUCUGUAACUGACGCUGAGGAGCGAAAGCGUGUGGAGCAAACAGGAUUAGAUACCCUGGUAGUCCACGCCGUAAACGAUGAGUGCUAGGUGUUAGGGGGUUUCCCCCUUAGUGCUGAAGUUAACGCA